CAAACUGAGGAACGUAAAAUUUGACAGACGGUUGGACCUCCAAUUCUUUGAAUCCAAAGUGACAUUCAACAUGGCGCCGUAAUGAAAAGCUCGUUUGCUAAAUUUAACCAGCAAAUGGAUUGAGUUUGGAAAAUUCUGUGAUGUCAUCACCACCACAUACUUUGCAGAUAAACCGUGUGUGUGUGUGUGAGGGGCGCCACCGAGAGCCUUCCAAAUCUAAGCUUCCCGGGAAAGCGUUUGCUCGCCGCCUCACUCCAUCAUCGAGCGUCUCACAUGAGCUGGCGCGCCGCCGCCGCCUCCUCUCGCUGCCUUUAGAAUGGGGCCUGGCCACACCACACAGCGCCCCCUUGUGGUUGAAAUGGACGUGACGCGCGCUGAUCUAGCCAUAUAAGCUUCCAGCCUCCCCUUCAAGGAUGAUGGCACCGUCUCGGAAUAGCCCUGCCUCGGAGCCGCAUUCUUGUAAUGUAUGGAAAGAGUCACGUUACGCACACGCCAGCGUACGUUAACGCGCCCGCCGUGGUGUAAAACUGGACCGCGGGAAGCUCGUCGUUGGACAGCGGCAAGAGGAGAUGGCGGAAAGAGUGCAACGCUGCCCCCUGCUGCUUGUUUUCAACGGCUUAACCCUUAGCCCUAUUUGGCCAGCCGCUGAUUUGAAACCAAAUGUUCUAUCCAUUUGAACUUUUGACCUGUUUUAUCUUGUCGGUGACAAACGCGGGCAGCUUGGUUCGCAGCUGCUCCGUUUCCUUGAAGGUGGGCGGGAAGCCGCUGAGGUAGGCCAGCGUCUGCAUGCGAAUCAGACCCGGAGCCUCUUUAUCCGUGGUCUGCGGAAAACAGGACGUGGUGACGGAAAUGCGACUUCCUCGAAAAGCUCAGACCCACCGUCUGCCUGGGAAUUGAAGACCAGCACGGAGGCGGCGGUGGACGGGUGAACGGGCCUGCGGAGCUGCAGCAGCUCCUUGGCGGCCGCCAGCGCCGGCGAGAGCGCCGGCAACUCCCGUAGCGUGCCG